rnacentral:rRNA from 1 species
UACGGAGGGGGCUAGCGUUGUUCGGAAUUACUGGGCGUAAAGUGUGCGCAGGCGGCCAUGCAAGUCGAGUGUGAAAGCCCCGGGCUUAACUUGGGAAUUGCGCUCGAAACUACGUGGCUGGAGUGUGGCAGAGGAAGGUGGAAUUCCACGUGUAGCGGUGAAAUGCGUAGAGAUGUGGAGGAACACCAAUGGCGAAGGCAGCCUUCUGGGCCAACACUGACGCUCAUGCACGAAAGCGUGGGGAGCAAACAGG